rnacentral:rRNA from 1 species
UGAACGCUGGCGGCGUGCCUAAUACAUGCAAGUCGAGCGAACAGACGAGGAGCUUGCUCCUCUGACGUUAGCGGCGGACGGGUGAGUAACACGUGGAUAACCUACCUAUAAGACUGGGAUAACUUCGGGAAACCGGAGCUAGUACCGGAUAAUAUAUUGAACCGCAUGGUUCAAUAGUGAAAGACGGUUUUGCUGUCACUUAUAGAUGGAUCCGCGCCGCAUUAGCUAGUUGGUAAGGUAACGGCUUACCAAGGCAACGAUGCGUAGCCGACCUGAGAGGGUGAUCGGCCACACUGGAACUGAGACACGGUCCAGACUCCUACGGGAGGCAGCAGUAGGGAAUCUUCCGCAAUGGGCGAAAGCCUGACGGAGCAACGCCGCGUGAGUGAUGAAGGUCUUCGGAUCGUAAAACUCUGUUAUUAGGGAAGAACAAAUGUGUAAGUAACUAUGCACGUCUUGACGGUACCUAAUCAGAAAGCCACGGCUAACUACGUG